CAUGUCACAUUGAAACACUAGUUACCUUAUGAUCACAGAAGUUAAGCAACAUCAAGCCUGGUCGAUACCUAGAUGGGUAACUGCUUGGGAAUACCGGGUGCUGUAAG